UUGGACACCCCUGAUGUACAUGUGGCGUCUAUUUCCUUUAAAGCUGAUUAUUCAUGUUGGAUCUGGGCUCUUGUGAAAUUGCUUGUUUGUUGCUCAGUGUGAUUGUUUCAUCUGAUGCUCCUCAGCAGAACCGGUUCGUCUGAACCGGAUCCUCAGCGCCGGAUCCUUAGCGCCUCCCGCCGCUGACUGAUCCUGACAGCCCUCCUGAUCCCUCCUGAUCCCGGCCCAGACUCGGGAAGGGAAGCCAUCCAGCUCAGAGAUUUGCUGACUCCGUCUCUGCGCCGUUUGAGAUUGGCUCAAAGAGCGACGAGCGGCCUGGCAGCUCCUCCAGACUCCCGGUGAACAGAAGAGAGAAGAAGAAGAAGAGACGGCCGUUCGUCAUCAGGCUGAGAGAAGCUCCUAUCGCUGCUGGGUGAACUGUUCAAUGUUCAUCAGAGAAACGAGACUCAUUUAGCUGCACUGCUUUAGUUUUACAGGCGUUUGUCCCACCUGAACUGGAUCCUGAGAUUUCUCUGUUUUACCUCAUCGGGUUGAGACGUUUCAACCACCUGAACCUGUUCUGAUCAUGAGGCCCGUCAUGAUU